rnacentral:misc_RNA from 1 species
UAAUAAGUGUUUUAUGGCACUUUUUAAAUCCAUAUCCACCUUGUGUGCAAUGUCAGUCGAUCUUCUUCAUGGAGAUCGACCAAACAUCAACCUUUAUCUUUUAACUCUUGUCUGAAAAAUAUUAUGAAAUAAACAAUUCAAAAUAC